AGAAAACGUGCUAACAAAGAGAUCAGAAGGAAGCGAGAUCUACGGCAACGACAAGUUUGUCUAGGCUAGUCUACACUCGAGCUUUUGCCUGUGGAGUUCUUUGAGUUCUUUGGAGUUUAUUAGUUGUAGUUUUAGUAGUUGAAGAAUUUAGGAGUUUAAUAGUUUAGAACUUUGGAUUUUCUUGUAUUUCAAAUAAGGAUAUAUUAGUUUGGAUCUUUUCACCCUUUAACAGUUAUAUAAUUAGCUUGUAUGAACAAACCUGUGUAAAUAAUCGAAAGCUGUUCUGUAUAUCAAUCUGUGCGUGAUCGAAAUCCUGGACGAUCACGAGUGGAUUUUUGGGGCACCAAGCCUAAAUUGGGUGUCCCCACAAUCCCACAAAUUUGCCAUAAUUUUAUUUUGGCAUUUUAUUUACUCGAGAGACAUUUCUUUUAUUAUUAAAAACAUUUUUUUCAAAACUCUUUUUUUUUCACCAAACUUUUAUUCAAGCAAAACUCAAACAAAGCUGCGAUAAACUUAUAUAACAUAAUAAAGGAGCAUUUGGAAAUAUACGUACCGUGCACCUUGAGAGGUGAUAUGUUUCUCAUUUGCAUGUUUUGGCAAUUGAUUUGUUCCUGGCCCUUGACUUACCUUCAGCGUGACUCGUACUUGAGAACUCACCCAUCAAAUUUAAAACUUUUCCUGCAGGGGUUAGUCCACAAAGGGUAUACAUCCGAAGUCCAUGAAAGUACUAGCUCUACAAUUCAUUUAAACAAAGUGGACACCACGUCAACUUUGAAUAAAGCAGGCUAUUUAUCCUAAGCAUCACGCUCAAUUUAAAAAGCCUAUGAAUGUCGACGUCCACCCAAACCAUAGCAUACGAAAAUGGACGAUCAAGCCAGACUCAACUAGAGAUAAGUAUGAGUAAAAAAAAUGGUGAAUCUUUUGGUGCAUACAUGAGUGCACUUACCGCCAGCAUGAUGUAUAUGUUGAAAUCUCUGAAGCGGUGGCAUGGUCACAUGUGAUUGUCGAUCUUUCCUCCGUCUUGACGUAGGUUGUGGCGGAGGAAGGCACUUUGACCACACCAACUCCAGCGAGUGGUUUUGGUUAUGCACACAUCUCUGGUGCAAUAACCUUGUGCCUUGAAGGCGUGCUCCGUCGGCGCAAUGCUGAAGAGACGUAGGAUGCAUCUCUUUUUGGGCAAUUAUGCAAGUGCCAACUGGAGUGGAGCAGCUAACACCUAGGAAAGAAUAGGGCAUCCCCUCUUGCUUGUAUGCAUGUACGUGUUGCGGGAGCGAGAAGUUGUGCAGAACUAGGAGUAGAUGGAGGCUAAGCCAAGGCGGCACAUGAGCUCAAGAGAGGGGCUGGUUGUAGCGAGGCAGCAUGAUCGCUACUAGCGAGGUGUAUGGCCAUAUUUUAAAGACUCGCACAUAAUGCGGUCUUUGAUCUAGAUGUAGCCUGUCAGCGCUCUUUCUCUCUUCCUCUUCUCCCAUCUUUCAUUUCUCUUUUUUUUUUCUUCCGUCUCUCUUUUCCCUUUUUUUUCUUAUUUUUCUCUUCUUUUUUCAGCAAGGUAAGACUAACACCAAUGCAAACCAAGAUGGCAUUGGUUGAUGAAACUCGUCACGCAAGCUCGUCGCCCCCCACACUUGGACUUUGGUGUCGCAAGACAUCAAAAACCAAGUGUGAUGUUGGAGUCUUCAUAAAGUAUGUUUCGACACCAAGGAAUACCAAAAUGUACAGUUGAUGUAGCUCCCGAGUUCUUAGGCAUCGUACGUCCCUCGUUCUUAAUCUCAACCUGAAAUGGUUAUUGACCAAGAAUACCCGAAGGUUCUCCUUCUCAAGAGAUGCAUCGUGCAAGAACAAGGUUGUUUCUUGACAAAUGUCGAGAACAACAUUUUGAUGGCCAGAGGGACAAGGUUCACGCUCGAUAGGAGGUUGUGAUGGUGGUUCUUUGGAGUGCAACUCAAGGGUCUCGCCAGAAUCUUUUCGAAUGAAAUGAAGAUCAUCAUGUUCUAGAGUAGACUCAGGGGACUCAUGAAGCAGAACCGCCAUUACUUCCUCUAUUGGCGUAUUAUCAGGGAGGAUGCCUAUCAAGGUUUUCACAUAAUCGGUAUGAGGACCAUCCCUGAAUUUAGGAGCGCAACCCGGAGCUUGAAUUUCUCUGGAAUCCGGCGAUGGCUUCAUGGAGGACUCUGUAGUCAGACUCGAAGAUGUUGAAGGCUUGGGUUCAGUCUUGGCAAAAGAAGGUUCCUCCCUUCCUGACACAAAUGCUUCUGGAUGGGGUUCAACACACUGCCCGACCAAGGAGGUAUUUUCCGAUAUGCGAUCGAGAAUUUCCUUGCCUUCGGCGGGAAUUUUAUGCAUAAAUCACCCUCCAGCAGUUAUGUCAAGGUAAAAUGUAGACUCCCUAUCUAAACUCGUUUGAAAAUGCUGCAAUAGCACGUAAUCGGGUAUAGACAGGGUUGGACCAGACUGAACUAAAUUAGUGAAUCUAGACCAGGCUGCACCAAUCGAUUCUUUAUUUAUCUGCUAGAAACUCAGAAUUUCUACACGAAGAGUAGUAAUACGGGUUACAGGGAAGAAUGCGAGGCAGAACCUAUCUCGCAAUUUCUCCCAGUCACCGUUUACACACCCAACGGUAAAUGUGUACCAUUGUUUUGCUCCCUCACGAAGAGAGAAUGGAAACAAUUUCCACCGAA